rnacentral:lncRNA from 12 species
AUGUCCAUACUCACAGGAGCCCUGCUUCCUCAGGACCCCCUGGAGGACUCUGGAGGCGCUGUUGGGGGUCACCUCCACAUCAGAAGGGACUACUCAGAACCACAGGGAGCCAGCCUGUGCUGGGGAGGCCUGAGGAAGACGUGGGGACACAUCCACGUGGAUGAGCCACAGCCUCCUCAGAAACUACGCAGAGUCUUCAGGGGGAUAUUGGGCAGCGUUCAUGAUGACAGGAGCCUCAGUCUCUUCAGGACACACGGUGAGGCUUCAGGAAGAUGUGAGACAACAUCCACCCUGACAAGAGACCCUGGGCCGCUUCCGGCCCUGCGGGGAGGCUUCAGGAAAUUGUGGGCCCGCACCCACCCUGACAGGAGCCCCUGGGCUGCCUCAGGACCCGCAGGGAGGCUUCAGUAAGAUGUGGGCCUGCAUCCACGCUGACAGGAGCCCCUGGGCCACCUGAGGACAUGCCUGGAGGCUUCUGAAAGAUGUGGCGCUGUGUCCACUCUGGCAGGAGCUAACUGGCUCCUCAGGACAUAAGUUGAGGCUUCUGGAAGCUGGGGGCAGCAUCUAAAGUGACAGGAGCCCCAGCCAUUCAGAACCUGUGGUGUCGCUUUGGGAGGACGUGGGGCCACGUCCACACAACAGACGCUGAUGUCCUCAGGACACCCGGUGUAGUCUUCAGGAAAUAUGGGGAUGCGUCCAUGCAGAAAGAAGACCCCAGCCUUGUCAGAGCCUGUGGUGAGGCCUAAGGAAGAUGUGGAUGCUGAAUCCACACUGACAGGAGUCUCCAGCCUCCUCAGGACACACUGUGAAGGAUCGGGAUGAUUUGGGGCCACGUCCGUGCUGACAGGAGCUCCCAAGCUCCUCAAGUCUUAUGGUGAGGCUGAGGAAAAUGUGGGGCCAUGUCCUCCUCAGGACCUGCACUUUGGCUUCGGGACACAUGAGGCUGCGUCUAGGCUGACAGGAACCCACAGCCUCCUCAGGACCCACUGUGAGUUUUCUGGGGGACGUGGGUCCGUGUCCAGGCUGACAAGAGCCUCCAGCAUCCUGAGAACCUGCUGUGAGGCUUCCAGAGUAUGUGAGGCAUAAUCCAGGUUGACAGGAGACCCGGGUCCUCAGGACCCGCUGACUAUGACUCAGGAACACGUGGGGCCACGUCCCCACUCACAGGAGCCCGGCUUCCUCAGGACCCCCUGGAGGACUCUGGAGGCGCCGUUGGGGGCCAUGUCCAUGUCAGAAGGGACUCCUCAGAACCCUGGGUAAGUGAAUGGGUAGAAUGAAUGGUAAGACAGGGGAGGGGAGGCAGUUGGUGGUUAGUCUUAGGUUAGAUGUUAGGGGUUAGUGAUUAUGCUUAUGGUUAUGGAUUAAAGGUUAGGGUGAGGGAUAAGGGUAAGGUUCAGUUGUUAGGAGUUAG